rnacentral:ncRNA from 2 species
GUCUUAUCCAGAGUGUUUUAGGGAACUGGCCCGGUGAGAACACAGCAACCUACUUGUAUGAGCAAGGUGCUAAUUCCAGCAGCAACAAGCUGAAGAGAUAAGGA